CACUCUUUAAAUGAAGGGUAAACAAAGGUGCUUCCUCAAAGUGAAUUACUCUGCGUAAACACAUAUAAGUCUGCGUCCUUUGCUUUUGAUCCAAGGACUUGGUCCCAUGGAGUUGAAAGCAUUUCUUGUCAGAUCCGGCCCAAUCUCAAAGUUGGAGGCAACAGCGUGAAAGGUGUGACCAGACGUCCUGUACAGUGUGGAGCUGUCCCCUGCUUGGAGGUGACUGUCAGUUCCACGCGGAGAGGAGAAGGGCUGCUCUGUGGAGAGGAAGCUGCAGAUGGGGGUUCUGGUGCUGGAUUGGGAAGAGAGCCUCCGAGCACGUCUGUCUCCGGGAACAUUUCUGGGGAACGGUGCGCUCGGCUCCAUGCCUCUUCUCAGGUCCCAAACUAAACCAUCCUUUGGGAGUUAAAGAGUUUGAUGACUGGCUGGGAUCUGAGAAAUUUACACAGAUGUAUAUUAAUCCAC
rnacentral:lncRNA from 1 species